AGGAAAGACAACCCUGGAGUUUCGAACCUGGGUGCCAAGUAUGGGCAGUGGCGGAUCCACAUUGGGGCAAAGGGGGUCAAUUGACCCCUGCAAACCAGAAACCAUGGCUUGGGGAUAAGAAAUGUGACCCCUGCAAUUGCUUGAUUUGCAGGCGGCUACCUCGUUGCAGAGGCACUCUGUUAGCGCGAGGAAGAAGAUGAGGAUUUCUGACUUUUUUUUUGUCUUCUCAAAACACACUGAACGACGUCGUGUUCUGAUCCAUAAAAAAAGAAGCAAGAAGAUGUCAUUGUCAUGUGGGUAAAGCCACUAAGUUUAGAUGCGACACUAGCUUGAAAUAUUGCAAGAAGAGAAUCAAAAGCUAUCAAAGAUGAUAGAUUUUUACCCUAAGGACAUGCAAGAGCAACUGAAGGCCUUGGAUCAACUGAGUAAAUAUACGUGAGGAGAUCCAAGUUUUGCUAAAACUAAGAAAGUGAUAUUUGGAAGUUCAAGUAAUGAGCCCUAAGAAGCGGUACGAGAAAACCUAAGAGAGGAGAUCCAGAGGGUCAAACUAAAGUCUUCUAUUGUGGAAUCAUGAAGCUCGCCAUAAUGUUGUUAUUGUUUGUUUGUUUUUUUUCCAACUUGUAUGUACUUAGCUUUUGUAUGUUUUUAAAUUAAUUAAUAAUAAUUAUUGUAUGUCCUUAGCUUUUGUAUGCUUUAAUUAAGUAAUAAAGAAUGUUUUGGUUAA